rnacentral:rRNA from 1 species
ACGGGUGAGUAACGCGUGGGAAUCUACCCAACCCUGCGGAAUAGCUCUGGGAAACUGGAAUUAAUACCGCAUACGCCCUACGGGGGAAAGAUUUAUCGGGGAUGGAUGAGCCCGCGUUGGAUUAGCUAGUUGGUGGGGUAAAGGCCUACCAAGGCGACGAUCCAUAGCUGGUCUGAGAGGAUGAUCAGCCACAUUGGGACUGAGACACGGCCCAAACUCCUACGGGAGGCAGCAGUGGGGAAUAUUGGACAAUGGGCGCAAGCCUGAUCCAGCCAUGCCGCGUGAGUGAUGAAGGCCUUAGGGUUGUAAAGCUCUUUCACCGGUGAAGAUAAUGACGGUAACCGGAGAAGAAGCCCCGGCUAACUUCGUGCCAGCAGCCGCGGUAAUACGAAGGGGGCUAGCGUUGUUCGGAAUUACUGGGCGUAAAGCGCACGUAGGCGGAUAUUUAAGUCAGGGGUGAAAUCCCAGAGCUCAACUCUGGAACUGCCUUUGAUACUGGGUAUCUUGAGUAUGGAAGAGGUAAGUGGAAUUGCGAGUGUAGAGGUGAAAUUCGUAGA